ACUUGCAGUAUAAACUUUCGUUAAUAUUUUUAUAUGCUAGGUCAUAAAAGUGCUACAAUAAACUUUAAAAAGGGUGAUCUUACAUUUUAUUUAAACACUUACAACCUUUGGUAUGUAUACAAGUUUUUUUUCUCUCAACAGACACAACCUUGUUCAACAAGAUCAUUCAGCAGGCUAAACAUGGCAAAUGGAAGGAACAAUAAGACACUAGUAGUCAAUUUUCAAAGCCACUACCAAAAUGUCUAUCCUCCAGCACUUCAGGCACAUCUUUGAUACCAGUGUCAAUUUCUACAUUCCCAUCGUGGACAGCAGAACCAAUUAUUUCAGGUACACCACGGACACAACAAUCUAAAACUUCAGGCACAUCUUUGACACCAGAGUCAUACACGUCAAGCACUAAGGAAGCAUUUCAGGCACAUUUUUGACACCAGAGUCAAACACUUCAGGCACAUCUAUGACACCAAGAGAAACCUCCGAGUACAGAAGCAGAUCGACCAGGAACAACAAUCAAUCUUAAUUCAGAUGAUGAAUCAUAAAAAAAGUGGUCAAAGAAGAAUGAAAAGAUGCGUUAAAAUUCUAUGACCCAGAUGCCAAAUAUUUAUGGUUAGGACUUCACCACUGCUUGUACACGACUUCCUGUCAUAAUGGGAUUUAGGGAACGUCUUCAGGUGACAGGAAGGCAAUUAAAAAAACGAAUGGUACUUCACAGAACUUGCAUACAACUAUACAUUCCCUGAACCAACACCAAGAUACUUUAUAUGGUGCCGUAAAACAUGGGAGUUUAAAUUGCAUCCAGCUGCAAAAAUGGAUUUUGAAUGCGGUUCGAUUUUCAACAUCAGAUAUUACCCAGCUUAUAACCAAAUCGACCGAAGAUGUAGAGAGGAAACAACAGGAAAGGAUGGCUCUACAAACAGAACUGGUCAAUGUCGUGAAAGACUCUGUAUAACAAAAUCUAGAAUUGGA